GCUUUGGAUGCCCUUCAACAACAGUGGAGAAGAAGAUGCUGGAAGUAUUUUUCUGGUCAAAGGUGAAGCCUUUUAGUGGCUCAAACACUGACAUAGAUCUUAUGCUGCAUUGAACUGAGCAGUCCUAUCCACCUAUGCCCCUCUUAUUGCAGAAAAUUUUAGUUGCUCCAUGGUGGAAGCAACAAGGCAUUGGACCACAGAAACCAUAUCCUUCUCUUGACCUUCUCCCCUUCUCCUCGAGGAUUACUGAUCAACUCUUCAGCGAAUUCAAGUCGGUCAUAUAAUGUUUCUGCAACCUCGAGCCUCGACAGAUCCAAUAAUUGAAGUAGAGUCAAGAAAGGAGAAGAGUGCACGCAAAAGGAACUGCAUGUUGAAAAGAGAAGCUUAGAAGACUGCUCGAGAAACAUUUGUUUCCCUAUUAAUCUCUCUCCCAGUCUCUCUCUCUCUCUCUCUCUUCUUGAGCCUCUAAAUAUGGAAUGGGGAUGUAGACCACAUGGAUAAAUGAAGCACGAGCUACACCAUUUGAUUGAGAACAAUUCUACAUACUUGAAGCAGCUCCCUUGUUGCUUCAUGAUGACAAG
rnacentral:lncRNA from 1 species